rnacentral:rRNA from 1 species
UACGUAGGGUGCGAGCGUUGUCCGGAAUUACUGGGCGUAAAGAGCUCGUAGGCGGCUUGUCGCGUUGUUCGUGAAAAUUUACCGCUCAACGGUGAACUUGCGGGCGAUACGGGCAGGCUAGAGUACUGCAGGGGAGACUGGAAUUCCUGGUGUAGCGGUGAAAUGCGCAGAUAUCAGGAGGAACACCGGUGGCGAAGGCGGGUCUCUGGGCCGUUACUGACGCUGAGGAGCGAAAGCGUGGGGAGCGAACAGG